CCUACGGGAGGCAGCAGUGGGGAAUAUUGCACAAUGGGGGGAACCCUGAUGCAGCGACGCCGCGUGGGUGAAGGAGUAUUUCGGUAUGUAAAGCCCUAUCAGCAGGGAAGAACAAUGACGGUACCUGACUAAGAAGCACCGGCUAAAUACGUGCCAGCAGCCGCGGUAAUACGGAUGGUGCAAGCGUUAUCCGGAUUUACUGGGUGUAAAGGGAGCGCAGGCGGCGCGUUAAGCCUGGUGUGAAAGCCCGCGGCCCAACCGCGGGACUGCAUUGGGAACUGGCGCGCUGGAGUGCCGGAGGGGUAGGCGGAAUUCGUGGUGUAGCGGUGAAAUGCGUAGAUAUUAGGAGGAACACCAGUGGCGAAGGCGGCUUACUGGACUGUAACUGACGUUGAGGCUCGAAAGCGUGGGGAGCAAACAGGAUUAGAUACCCGUGUAGUC
rnacentral:rRNA from 1 species